rnacentral:rRNA from 1 species
CCUACGGGCGGCAGCAGUGAGGAAUAUUGGUCCAUGGACGAGAGUCUGAACCAGCCAAGUAGCGUGAAGGAUGACUGCCCUAUGGGUUGUAAACUUCUUUUAUAUGGGAAUAAAAUGUUCCACGUGUGGGAUUUUGUAUGUACCAUAUGAAUAAGGAUCGGCUAACUCCGUGCCAGCAGCCGCGGUAAUACGGAGGAUCCGAGCGUUAUCCGGAUUUAUUGGGUUUAAAGGGAGCGUAGGUGGAUUGUUAAGUCAGUUGUGAAAGUUUGCGGCUCAACCGUAAAAUUGCAGUUGAAACUGGCAGUCUUGAGUACAGUAGAGGUGGGUGGAAUUCGUGGUGUAGCGGUGAAAUGCUUAGAUAUCACGAAGAACUCCGAUUGCGAAGGCAGUUCACUGGACUGCAACUGACACUGAGGCUCGAAAGUGUGGGUAUCAAACAGGAUUAGAUACCCUUGUAGUC